GGAUUAGGCAUGCAAGUCGAACGCGAACGUCGGGCUUCGGCCUGGCUAGUAGAGUGGCGAACGGGUGAGUAACGCGUGGGCAAUCUACCCUCGAGUGGGGAAUAACCUCUCUAACGAGUGGCUAAUACCGCAUACGAUCGCACUCCUGCAUGGGAGAGCGAUGAAAGGUGGGGAUCUUCGGACCUGCCGCUCGAGGAGGAGCCCGCGUCCCAUUAGCUUGUUGGUGGGGUAACGGCCCACCAAGGCGACGAUGGGUAGCCGAUCUGAGAGGAUGACCGGCCACACUGGGACUGAGAUACGGCCCAGACUCCUACGGGAGGCAGCAGUCGAGAGGCUUCGGCAAUGGGGGCAACCCUGACCGAGCGACGCCGCGUGCGGGAUGAAGGCCUUCGGGUUGUAAACCGCUGUCAGGAGGGAAGAAUCCCCGCGGGUUAAUACCCCGAGGGUUGACGGUACCUCCAGAGGAAGCUCCGGCUAACUCCGUGCCAGCAGCCGCGGUAAUACGGAGGGAGCGAACGUUGUUCGGAUUCACUGGGCGUAAAGGGCGUACAGGCGGUUUUGCAAGUCAGGGGUGAAAUGUCCCGGCUCAACCGGGGACCUGCCCUUGAAACUGCAGGACUUGAGGUCGUGAGAGGAGACUGGAAUUCCUAGUGUAGCGGUGAAAUGCAUAGAUAUUAGGAAGAACACCAGUGGCGAAGGCGAGUCUCUGGCACGCACCUGACGCUGACGCGCGAAAGCUAGGGGAGCGAACGGGAUUAGAUACCCCGGUAGUCCUAGCCGUAAACGAUGGGCACUAAGUGUUGGCCGAUCGACCCGGUCAGUGCUGUAGCUAACGCAUUAAGUG
rnacentral:rRNA from 1 species